rnacentral:rRNA from 1 species
UAGGGAAUAUUGUGCAAUGGACGCAAGUCUGACACAGCAACGCCGCGUGAGUGAAGAAGGCCUUCGGGUUGUAAAGCUCUGUCUAGUGGGAAGAACAAUCUUUCGGUUCAUAGCCGAGAGGUCUGACGGUACCACUGGAGGAAGCACCGGCUAACCUCGUGCCAGCAGCCGCGGUAAUACGAGGGGUGCAAGCGUUGCUCGGAAUUAUUGGGCGUAAAGGGUAGGUAGGCGGUCUUAUUUGUCAGAGGUGAAAUCCCUGGGCUUAACCCAGGACGUGCCUCUGAACGGUGAGACUGGAAUACUGGAGAGGGUCGCGGAAUUCCCGGUGUAGCGGUGAAUGCGUAGAGAUCGGGAGGAACACCGAGAGGCGAAGGCGGCGACCUGGACAGUGAUUGACGCUAAACUACGAAAGCGUGGGGAGCAAACAGGAUUAGAUACCCUGGUACGUCCACGUCCGUAAACGAUCAGUACUAGACUUGGU